UGUCACUAAGUUCGUUUAUAUUGCGAUCUACUUUCUUUCACUAUUUUUCAUUGCAAAGAACGAUGCCACCGCAACUUUUUGUCAUGACGACUCUCAUUGUGUAACAAAAAUUAAGUGUGUGCUUCCUCGGACACCGCAAUGAUUGGACUACUACCUACACCAUGGAUGCAAGCCACCUAUAAGAUAGUUGAUUUUGGGAUCUCUAAGAUGUUUAAGAAUACUGAUAAUGGAAAUGCAGAAUCCGCAAUGGUUCUUAUUGAUCCAGCGUUAGUCCUCAUCCAAAUGAUUAUUUUACAUUUUAUUAUGUCAGUAUUGCAAUCACAACCAAAAAUUGCUCACUUAACAAUAAAUGUGAUAAUUAGAGAAUGUAUUUGAAUUAAGAACUUAUUGAAUUAUUCAUAACUUGUUCUGAAAAUAUUAUUACUCAUAAUAACAUAGGGUCCUGCUAACCGGUACCUCCGGGGCACGGGUUAAGCAUACCAUAAAAGGAAACUGUUUCUGACUUUAUUAUCAAUUAAUUACACAAUUUCAAUGCAUUAA